rnacentral:rRNA from 1 species
AUUGAACGCUGGCGGCAGGCCUAACACAUGCAAGUCGAGCGAGCGGCGGACGGGUGAGUAAUGUAUGGGGACUGCCCGAUAGAGGGGGAUAACUACUGGAAACGGUGGCUAAUACCGCAUACUGUCGGAUAACCCAUAUGGGAUUAGCUGGUAGGUAAGGUAAUGGCUUACCUAGGCGACGAUCCCUAGCUGUUUUGAGAGGAUGAUCAGCCACACUGGAAUGGAGACACGGCCCGGACCACAACGGAGGCAGCAGUGGGGAAUAUUGCACAAUGGGAGCAAGCCUAAUGCAGACAUGCCGGGUGUAGGAAGAAGGCCAUAGGGUUGUAAAGUACUUUCAGUGGGAAGGCGUUAUCGAAAGAAGAAGCACCGGCUAACUCCGUGCCAGCAGCCGCGGUAAUUC